rnacentral:misc_RNA from 1 species
GUAGGUGAACCUGCGGAAGGAUCAUUAACACUUAUUAUCCAAUAAAUAUCAAAAUUUAAACCAAACGGUCACUUAUCUCCUCCCUACUUCGCCCACCGGAGACGGUACGAGUAGGCUAACAUUUUUUAAUUUUUAACCCCAUUAAAAACAUUCAACUCUUCGAUUUUGCUAUCUUUUUGCGUAAAAACAAAAUGAAAAACAAAAAACGAACUAAACUAAAAUAUACAUUGAUUAUAUUUUUCUUCUACGA